ACUAUAUGCUGCCUACAAGAGAGUCACUUCAGCUUUGAAGAUACGUAUAGGUUGAAAGUGAAGAGAUGGAAAAACAUAUUCCAUGCAAAUGGUAACCAAAAAGGGAGCAGGGUGGCUAUUCUAAAAUCAGAUAAAUUACACUUUAAGUGAAAAACUGUCACAAGAAAUAAAAAAGUUUUAUCCUACAUAUAAUGAUAAAGGGAUAAACUCAUCAAAAGCAUAUAACAAUGAUAAAUAUAAAUGCACCCAACAUUAGAGCACCUAAAUACAUACAGAAAAUAUUUUAAAAAUUAAAGGGAGAAAUAGACAGAAAUACAAUAAUAGUAGGAGACUUCCAUACUCCACUUUCAACAAUGAAUAGAUCUUCCAGAUGGAAAGUCAGUGGGAAACGGUGGACUUGGACAACACUAUAGAUCAAAUGGACCUAACAGGCAUGCACAAAACAUUCCAUCCAACAGCAGCAGAAUUAUGCACACACAGAGCAUUAUGCAGAAUAGAUGGAGACAUCACACUACCUGAUUUCAAAAUAUUCUACAAAGCAAUAGUAAUCACGACAGUAUAAUACUGGCAUGAAAAUAGACAUAUAGACCAAUGGAACAGAAUAGAGAACCCAGAAAUAAAUCCACUCAUUUUCAGUCAAUUGCUCUUUGACAAAGUUGCCAAGAAUAUACAAGGGGGGAAAGAUAUUCUUUUCAAUAAAGUGUGUGGGAAAAACUGGAUAUUCACAUGCAGAAGAAUAAAAUUGAACCAUUUUCUCACACCAUAUACAAAAAUCAACUCAAAAUGCAUUAAAAACAUAAAAGUAAGAUGUGAAACUACUAGAAGAAAACAUAGAGAAAAAGCUUUUUGUCAUUCAUCUGGGCAAUGAUUUUUUGGAUAUGACCAGAAAAGCACAGGCAACAAAAGCAAAAAUAAAUGGAAUUGGGUAAAAUUAAAAAGCUUCUGGGCUGGGCACAGCGGCUCACGCCUGUAAUCCCAGCACUUUGGGAGGCCGAGGUGGGUGGAUCACCUGAGGUUAAGAGUUCAAGACCAGCCUGGCCAACAUGGUGAAAUGCCGUCUCUACUAAAAAUACAAAAAUUAGCUGGGCCUGGUGGCAGGUGCCUGUAAUCCCAGCUAGUUGGGAGGCUGAGGCAGGAGAAUCGCUUAAACCCAGGAAACAGAGGUUGCAGUGAGCUGAGAUUGCGCCAUUGCACUCCAGCCUGGGUGACAAGAUCGAAACUCCAUCAAAAAAAAAAAAAAGCUUCUGUAUAGCAAAUAAAUAAUUGACAGAUUGAAAGAGGCACCUAUAAAGUGGGAGAAAAUAUCUUCAAACCAUACAUCUGACAAGAAGUUAGUAUUCAGGCUAUAACAGAAACUCAACUUAAGGCUGGGUGCAGUGGCUCAUCCCUGUUAACCCAAUACUUUUGGAGGCUUAGGAGGGUGGAUUCCUUGAGUCCAGGUGUCUGAGACCAGCCUGGGCAACAUGGUGAAAUCCCAUCUCUACAAAAAAUACAAAAAUUAGCUGGGCAUGGUGGUGCAUGCCUAUAGACCCAGCUACUUGAAAGGAUGAGGUGGGAGGAUCACUUGAGCCUGGGAGGCAGAGGCUACAGUGAGCCAAGUUCAAGCCACUGCACUCCAGCCUGGGUGACAGAGUGAGACUGUCAAAAAACAAAACAAAACAAAACAAAAACAAAAAACAAAACAGCAAAAACAAAAAAACAAAAAAAGCAGAAACAAACAAACAAAAAAACCCACAACCCCCCAAAAGAAACAACUCGACUCAAUAGCAAGAAAACAAAUGAUCUGAUUAAGCAAAUAGGCAAAGAACUUGCAUAGAUUAUCUAAUUCCAGAACCUUUUUAUCACCUCAAGAAGACCUCAUACCCAUUGGCAAUCACUGCUAAUUCCCUUCCUUCUGCCCUUUGGGCCCUGGCAACCACUCAUCUUUUUGUGUCUAUAGAUUUUCCUAUUCUGGACAUUUCAUAUAAAUGGAGUCAUGCAAUAUGUUGUCUUGUGCGUGUGGCUUCUUUCCUUUAAUGUCUUACAGUUUAUUCAUGUUGUAGCUUAUAUCAGUACUUCAGUCUUUUCUACAACUAAUAGUCCAUUGUAUGCAUAUAGUACCUUUUGUUUACCUCUUCAUCUGUUCAUCCUUUCAGAAGGAUCUUGGUACUAGUCUGAGCUGAACUUGAAAGCUACAAACAAUGAGUUUUUUUUCCAUCUCCUAACAUAGUAAAAAUCAGCGUUUUAGGAAGAUUAUUGUGGUGGGCCCAUAAAGACCAAAUCUACGGUGAGGCAGAGAUGGAGGAUGAUGAAAUUUGGAGCCUCAUUCUAUUAAAUUGGAGAGAAAAGUCAAGGUCACCAAGGGAAUCUUUGUGCAAGAAGCAGACUCAUUCUCAUUCUCUCUCUCCUCUCUCUCUCUCUCUCUCUGUCUCUCUCUCUCUCUCUCUCUCCCCCUGCCUGUCUCCAGUUCUGACCAUAAAGCCGUAAGGCCACAGGCUUUAAAGAGUGGCUAUCCUGGGGUUGAGGGCCCAGUGGUGGUUUCAACCUUGUCUCAUAUUUCUCCUGGCAGCUCUGUUGAAAAUCAGCCAACCACACUCCUUCCUGGAACAUACAUCGCUGAUAAUUGCCUCUUGCACAAUUAUCUGCCAAACCCAGUUGUUAAUGAAAUGAAUGAUUUAGUUAUCCUUGUUAGUAAUGGUCCACACUGCACAAAGACCCAUUAUUGUAUCCAUGAGGCUGGCAGGAGUGCCGGCCAAGGCACCUGUGAGCGAUUCUUAAAAUUAGCUCUCUUACCAGCUUGAUUGGAGAGGAGAAGGCUGCCAGUGGCCACAGGGGUGCAGCCUGUCCCCUGCAUGGUCCCUACGAUGCAUCAAGAGCUGGGAGCAUCUAGGGGCAAAAUAAGAAAUGAGGCCAGGACUGAGCUCUUUGUUUGCCAAUUUUGACCUGCAAAGCCCGGGGCUGCUUCCCCCCAGCACAGGGGAAGGACAGCCUGAAGGACGGUGCGGACAUGCAUCACGUCAGGUUUCCUUGGGUCCAGGGAGCAGCUCGGCUGACUGGCAGAUGAGGUAACUUGAAGCAUAUUGGGGUAUCCUAUUAAUAAAACACCUCUCCCCAUCACACACCAUGGCACAGCUCCUCCCCCUCCCUCAACUCCUCUGCCAAAGAGAACAUCUUUCUUUUGCUGGUAAUACUAGGUUUUUGCUCCCCUCCCUCCUUGCUCCCCAGAGUGGCUGUACAGUACUGCUCUUUCGUUUCCUGUUAGGCCCCAUCUUCCUCUAGUGCUCAUUCCUGCUGCUUUUCAAGGGAAGGGAGAACACGAGCAAGAGAAGUAGACACAAAUGGGCAUGACUGGAGCAAGUAGAACUGCUCAAGGUAAAUAGAGACAUAAACAGAGAAAGUAAUUUGCAGGACAUUGUGUUAACACACACAAGAAUGUGUACACACACACACACAUACACACUUGCACAUACACAUUUCAUCUUGUCUUCUGGACGAUGACAUUCGGGAAUAAGUUCUUCAGUUUGGGAAAUAGCUGCCCAGAGUUGUGACUGAGAAAUGUGUUUCAGCUUAAAGAGACUAGACUAACAUGGGGUUAAGGGACUCUUGCGAAAUGAGCAGAACCAAGUGUGCAUUGAGUGUGCACAGAGGCAGGUAUUAGAGGCUGUGUAACAGGGUGGGUAGUCUGUGCAUUGACCUGGCUUCACUCCUUUGACUGGUUGUGACUCUGCAUAAGCCAUUUAAUCCACAGCAAAAGAUAGAUGCUUGAAAACUGCUUUCAUACAUACAGAUUUAUUCAUGUUGACAACCUCUGCAUGCCACUCAGUAAAAAUUUCCAGGCUACUUGCAAUAGUAAUGAAACAGAAGGAUAAACUAAUUUAUGUCAGAGGAACAUAAUAUGUAAAAAAUAUAAUAAAAUUAAAGGUGAGACUGGCACCUGAAAAUCUCUCUAUUAUGACUCAAAAGCCUACUCAUAUGGCCCUGAGAGGUGUGGCCCUUCCUAAUUUUGACAGUGAGAAAUACAUCACCCUGGGUCCUGAUAGAGAGGACCUGUGGAGGCAGAGGGCAGUGCCCUGGUUAACACCCCUCCAGGGGAGAAGGAGAAGACCCCAUUACGACUGCUAUAUGACUGCUACUUCCCUUGCGGAAGAUGGCAGGGGAGAGCAGCACUCCCGCCAGUACAAGCCAAAGUACCGUGGCCCAAAUUAUCCAGCUUCAUCUUCACUGUCUAUACCAGUCAUGUUCAACGACUUAUAAAAAGCAGUGAUACUCUUCUAGUCCAAUAAAAUCUUGCACAAGCACAGAGAAAACAGGGAGGGUGGGUCACUGUUUCAGAGGGGGAAGGGCUGACCAUUUUCUUAGGGCCUCUCUUUCCCCACGCGGAGACUGGUGAGGCUGAUGAGGCACCUUUGCUCUGAAUCCCAAGCGUCUGAAAACCCCUUGUCCGAUCUAGGUGAAAGGAUGGAUAUCAGAAAGGAAGGAGGGAGGGGAGAAAUAGAGGAAUGAAGGGAGGGAGGAAAGAAUGUUGGUUUUUAUUGCCACUUGCGCGGGAGUCUUGUGGGAGCCAGUGGGGAAGUUGUUAUUUUGAAUCGGGUAAAUUGGGGCUUCCUCUUCUUGUUCGUCAAGACCACUUUUUGGCUCUUUUCAUCCCAAUAAAACAAACCAUGAUACACUAAGGGACUGAAGAGACACUACAAUGCACUUUUUAAGUGUCUGGGCUCCAAACCAAACUGCCUGGGUUUGAAUCCUGGCCCUGCUACUUAUUGCUGUGUGAUACUGGACAAGUUACUUAACAUCUCUGUGCCUGUUUUCUCAUCUGCAGAAAUAGGUGCUGAUAGUACCUACCUCGUGGGAUUAUUGUGAGGAGAAAAUGUGUUGGCAUGAGUAAGACCUUUAGAAUGGCGUUUGCCACGUGGUCUGGGAAUAAAUGUCAGCCGUCAUUAUGUUGUGGGUACAUAAAUACACUACUCCUUGCAAUGUCAGUUUUUGCUCACACAAUUUCCAGCCCUCUGCCCUCAGGUGAGCCAGCCUGUCUCAUCUCAGGGCCUCACGGUGGCUUAGCUCACCCAUCAGUGGGAGCAGGUGGCUGAGCUGCAGCCAGGGUUCUGUGAGCGUGGUGGGUUGGGGAGGGAAAGGAAUGAGGUUUGGAGUCCUUUUGUUGUUUUGCUUGGGUCAGAAGGAGUCUGUGGUAGCAUGCAGUCAUCAUCUUAUUUUACAGCUGCAGGAUGUUGGUAGACAAACUUCUCCCUAAUCUAUAUGAUCUGUAAGCCCAAAGGGAAAUAGGGGGCGGUCACAGGAGCUCGGUGGCCUCUGAGAAAGAGCACUUGGCUAUGGUGCAACUGGCCUAAAAUUCAUAGCCCCAUUCUCUUGAUCUGAGUUGCUUCUGGGGGAUGAGCGUGGCACCACAGCGUCUCAGGUGCUAUACAGGGGACUUCCCAUGAGUUUCCCUUAUCAGUUGUAAGAUGCUGUCUAUACAGGAGGGGAUGGUUUUAUGAAGACACAGGGGACAGUUACCAGCAGAUUGAUGGCCAAAGCUUUGAGCUAGAUGGUUUUCAUCUUCCUGAAACAUCACCCUAGGGUUUUCCUGAUGUUUCCAUCAAUCUGUUAAGUGCAGUGUGUGGUCGUGUCCCUCAGGGAGUUUCCCAUUUACUCUGGAAGACCAAACUUACAGGCUACACUCUGGGUGCAGACAGUGCUAGUCCUGUGGGGAGUUGGGAAAAAGGAGUGGGAGGCUUUGCGGCCGAGGAGGGGCUUCAGGGCAGCAAGGACAACGGCUGGGUUUGAACAGUCAGUGGAGAAGGAAGUGUGGAAAGGCCAGAGAAGUAGACAUGAAUGUGUGCAUGCCAGAGAGGGCAGGCAGACAGGGUUCAUGGAGGGGGCAGAAGCAGCACAUUGAUCUCUGCUUCUGCCAGAAGAUCAGAGGGGAUAUCAGGGGGGUGGUCUGGCCAGAGUAAGGGCAGCCUUGAAGCCCCAGUGGAAUAAUUUUGACUUGAUUCUAUGGAAAAUGACAUACAACAGUGUAGGAGGGCUUGUCUUCUAACUGAAACCAGCUGGGAAUCUUUCCCAAUAGUCCAGGGCAGGGCAGAGAGAGGGCCUUUGGCAGCAUGUGCAAAUGCACAUGCAUGUAACCAGUGUGUGUGGCCCACCGGGCUUCUAAGCCUACCGUUACCUCUUCUAGUUCUUCAAAUCUCUUAACCCUCUUGUCUGUGAGCAUGAACAAUCCGGGGCUUACACAGACAAGACCACAGUGUGCCAUCUUGUCAGAAGGAGAAACUGAGGCACUCUAUUGUAAAGAAGCUGGUUCUAGGACCUGCCCUUGAGUCACUGUGUAGUAAGACCCAGUGUGUGGGCUGCCAGGGCCCUUCCUUCAGGGAUCUGGCUUCUAAAGUUGUUUUUUUUCCUGUAUCUCAUAAAGAGGGAAAGGAUGUGCCUAAGAGAGGUUAUUUGGACGAAUGGCCAUUUUAAUUGCCUCCUAUCAGGCACAGGUGGAUAGAGGCAGGUGUGGGAAAGAGGGUUGCCUGGACCUGGGUUUCCCAGUCCCCCAUACUCCUUGGCCUAUUGUUGAGAGGGAGCUAGAGGAGGGGUGCGGACUUAGCAGAUUAAGAAAGAUAAACGCUUACUCUUUAACAGUGGGAAAGAGGGAUGGAAGAAUAAGAUUGAAAUCUGUGGCAAGAGGACUGGCCUAGCCUGGUGGAGGCAGGAGAGGCACGUGUGCUCUACAUGCCCAUCCAAGUCUCUGGUAGGGUGGUCCUUGCUCUGAGGGAAGAGUGUGGGCCACAGGCCACAGGGAUGCUCUGAGGAUGUGGGUGCUGCCCAUCUUGAAGUUUCUCCCCACCCCUCUCCGGAGCUGCUACCAUUGUCCUUUGCCCUCGGAGUGCUCUCCUCCCACCCCCACUGCCUCUUGUUCUCUUUCUCCCUUGGGCCAUUAGAAUGGCAGGGAGCCCAGCCAGGGCCUGGACGGCGGCCUCAGCUCCCUGUUCUCAAUAAUUGUGUGUGUGUGCAUAUGUGCAUGUGUACGUGUGAGUGCCUGUGUGUGUGCGUGCGUGUGUGUGUAGGGGCUGGGGCUGGGGUCAACAACAGAUCAGAGCACAGGAGUAGAGAGCUUCUGGGAGGGUGGGGUCACCCAUGAGUCACGUCCUACACCCUGGAGCCCAGAGGACCCUUCGCUCAAACCCACCACCAGCUGGCAACACCGGAGCAGCCAGAGCCGCUUUCUUCACUGCCCAGAGGAGCCUGGGAGAAGCCAGAGGUGUAAGUCAAGCUAUGGAGGACUGGGCGUGGCUGAGCCCCAUGAGAAGUGGGAGGAGCCAGGGAUGCUUAGGAGGGGCAGGCACUGUGCAGCGAGAGAGGAGGGAAAGGGGAAGCAUUCGUGUCUCUCUGCCCCCUGUCUCCCUCCUGCUGCAUAGUAGCCACAUCCAUGUCUCUUGUACCCUGCAAUCUGGAGGCCACUGCCAGAAGCUGGAAAUCCCAAGUAGAGCAGCAAAAGGUAUGAGGAUUGGCACGAAGUGAUGGCCAAUGGAGGCUCCCCAAAGUGCAUGGAAGGUGGUGGUCAGGUCUAAAGGCAGGAGUGCUGGGGCAACCCCAUAGCUGGGGGUCCUAUGGGAGAGACUGAGGAACUUCAGUCUGUGGACUCUCAGGCAGCUGUGUUACUGAGGAGGGGAAGGGGAAGUAGACGGGGUGGUGGUUUGAACAAGACCCAAAUCCUGCUUCUACUUAUAGGUGCUCACAAAGGCCAGUGCCCUGGAAAAGCUCUGGAAUAAAUACACCUGGGCCUUAGAAAGCAGAGGGAGGAGACAGUGCCAUCCAGUGGGAGCUUUCAUUUGUUUCCUCAGCCAGCCUCUGUGUCAGGGUUUUUGGGAACAAGGGCUGGAUGAACAAGGCCUUGGGAGUUCCUGUGGGGAGGGACUGGGAGUGAAUGGGCGGUGUGGCUGGCCCGGUGGUCACUUCUCCUCUGCUUAUCUAGGCUUGAGGUCGGAUUCUUGGCUCCUGGCACAUUGCCACUCCCUGCCACCCUCCUCCUUGUCUUCUGUCUUCUCCUGGUGGCAUCAGGCCUUGCUUCGUGUCCCAACAGGAGCCUCUGGGGCUGGCACAGCCCUCACUGCCUGCAACCUGGGCCUGGUGGUUCUUCUAGGGUGCCUCUCGGAGGUCGAGGCCACCCCGCUGCUGGCUAACUGCAGUUACUUCUGCCAGCCAGUGGACUACAGAUGGAGCAAGCAUGGAAUGAGGGUAUGGCAGGGAGCAGGAAGCAAGCCUGGAGAGGGUUAGGAGAAACAGCUUCAUAACAAUCGGAGGUCAAGGAGGCAUCUUUCUGGAGACAGGUAGGCACUGUGGAAUCAGCGGUGCGUAGAACAGUGAGGAUUUGAGGCUGAACCCAGCCCAGGUGGGACAAGCCGUGGCACCAGCCGGACUGCAGUCUGAUGGAACUUCCCCUUCCUGCCCAGCAGAUGGCGAGCAUGUGCUGCUGGUGCCUCUUUCCAAAGGAUGUUGAAUUGCUUGUCAGGUGUUCUUUACUUUAUGAAUGAAGCCAGAGCAGCCCACCUUCCUGCAUCUCUACCACCAUGGCACCAUGCCCUGUGAUGGGUGGGCUGGAGUCAAAUACGUAGCAGACAGCCAGGGUCAGUUUGUGGCCACUGCUGCCCCAUCUUCCUACAGUCUCCUCACCAAGUGCCCCUUCCCUGUUGGGUUCAACACAUCUGUGCUCCUGUAAGCCCUCAGCCUCCUCGUUCUCUUCCUCAACUUCUACCACCAGACACACCUGAGAGGCAAACAAGAGAGGCUGAACUAGGGGCAGGACACAGGGACUGAAACCAGCACAGCAUCCCCACAAAGAAUUGAGUGGAAGGCAGCAUGGCUUCCAGCUUACUGGUGCUGAGCAGAUUCCUCUGGGUCUCCAUUGUAUCCUCUGAAGGAAGGAGGAGGAUUGCCUUCUGUCCAGAUCUCAGGAUCAAACAAAUAAGUCCAACUUCCUGUUCUCACUUCAGUUAGAGCACUUCUCAUGUGACUUUGUAGCUUUGUGUGCAUCUCUUUCCUCUACUAGACCUAAGCCCCUCACGGGAGGGACUCUCUUAUUCUUGAUGUUCCCCACACCUGGAAUUUCAAUAAACAUCUCAAUAAACGUGUGUGUUUGGAUCCUUGGAUCCCAUGACUGCAGUCAUAACCUUGGUGAAGAAGAGGGCUGGGAGUAGGAAAGAGGUCAAGGUUGGCUUGAUCUCUAAUCUUAUAGUGGGAAAUUGUGAUGGAGAAUAUUCUAGAGUGGGUGUGGGUCUGUUUGAUUUCAGGUGUGUCUGUGUAAACAGUUAGCCCUGCAUAUAUUUUUGUCUAUUCACAACUGCCUGCAUGUGUAUUCAUAGAGUUGUGUGAUUCUAUGUAUGUGCAUGGGGAGUGGGAGAGGGCCAUGUGCACAUGUCUGAAUACUUGUUUUCAAAUAUACAUGCAUGUUUCCGUUUGGGUUUCUCUCUGUUUGUGUUGUUUGCCUGUCUCUUCUGUAAGUCUCUGAAAGUGCCACAUUGGCAAAUAAAAGCCACUGGGAAUAAAUAAU